GUCCCUAUCGACUCGAGGCCUAGGACAUCGCCCUGUCACGGCGGUAACCGGGGUGCGAAUCCCCGUAGGGACGCCA
rnacentral:tRNA from 1 species